GAUGAACGCUGGCGGCGUGCCUAAUACAUGCAAGUCGAGCGAACGGACGCGACGCUUGCUUCUCUGAUGUUAGCGGCGGACGGGUGAGUAACACGUGGAUAACCUACCUAUAAGUCUGGGAUCACUUCGGGACACCGGCGCUAAUACCGUAUAAUAUUUUGAACCGUAUGGUUCAAAAGAGAAAGACGGUCUUGCUGUCACUAAUAGAUGGAUCCGCGCUGCAUUAGCUAGUUGGUAAGGUAACGGCUUUCCAAGGCAACGAGGCAUAGCCGACCUGAGAGGGUGAUCGGCCGCACUGGAGCUGGGACGCGGUCCAGGCUCCUACGGGAGGCAGCAGUAGGGAAUCGUCCGCAGUAGGCGAAAGCCUGACGGAGCAACGCCGCGUGAGUGAUGAAGGUCUUCGGAUCGUAAUACUCUGUUAUUAGGGAAGAACAUAUGUGUAAGUAACUGUGCACAUCUUGACGGUACCUAAUCAGAAAGCCACGGCUAACUACGUG
rnacentral:rRNA from 1 species